rnacentral:lncRNA from 1 species
UGCCCUUGUUAUAACCAUAGAAUAUGUGCAACUUCAUCAGACUUUAUCAAAUGACUUGACCAUAAUGAUGAACACAAGGUAAAAGUAGCAUGCCUUUAGUUAGUCUUAGAUGGACACACCAAGAUACUUCCAUGUCAAUUUUUAAUCUCCAACUCACAUUUACUUGCUCUGAUAAACUCUGUUAUAAAAAAAACAGAACUCAUGCAAAUAAACGGGAGAACAAUACAGUGAUACACUCAAAGGUCAAAAGCUGAGUAAUCUAAUUUUGCCACUACAAAAAUCACACAAUUAUGUUGUUUUCAAUUAGUUAAUGGCAGCUUACAUUACUUGAUAGCAACCCAAUUACUCAUAUUUGAUAAUGUUGUUGUCAACAAUGAUCUGCAAACGAAAUUCUGUUUAAUAGCUCUAUUGCUUCCUUUUUCAUCCAAAUCAUGAUUCCACCCCCAAGUACUUAAUCAGUGUUUAUCUGGUGAUACUUAUUAAGUUCAAUUUAUUAAGGCAACAACUAACUUUUUCACAUUCAGGGACUAGAGUCAUUAAGUAAUUUAUCAAGCAUUUUUUGGGCAUCAAGAAAUCCAAUCCCAUACAAAAUUACUUUUCCAUUAUGAAUAAAGAAUUCAUAAUGCAUUUUCCUCAAAGGUCAUUGAGGCAUCCAUUCUUUACAAAACAUACGUAACAUUAGAGACAAGCGUCAUUAAGUUCAUAGUGCAAAAUCACUUCUAAUUGCAGUUGCAAAAUUGAAUUUAGGGACUAAGGGUCAUCAAAGCAGAAUAUAUAUCCAUUCAUGCAUUAUUAUGAAUAAAAAUUCAUAAUAUUUUUUAACAGAAAAGCAGACACCGAUAGAGACAAUUUCUUAGAGUAGCAAUUAAGGCAGCAACUAGCUUUCACAUUCAGUGACAUUUAAUCUCUUACAAAAAUUGAAGGUUCAUUUUUUUCCGAAGCAGAAGAUUGAAAGUUCGACAACCCAUCAUCGUUACCAAUAGGUAUGGAUUUAUAAACCAAAUGGUGCAAAUAUGUUGGAAUGAAGUUUUCAAUAAGCAGAAGAUUGGAAGUUAUUGGGACAGAACAUGUUUCAUCAAUUAAAGUUUUGUGUUUUCAAGAAGAAAUUGAAUGUUAUUGAAAUAUCAAGAAUUAAAAAAUUGGCAUCACAACAUGUAUCGAUCGUAAACAUGAUAUUGGCACAAAACACAUUUUUGCAUUAUUAAGGUUUUUUUUUUCCUCAAGCAGAAGAUUGAAUGUUCUUGAAUGAUCAAGAAUGAGAAGAAUGGCUAAAGUUAUACCUUUUAUCAAACAGAAGAUUGAAUGUUCUUGAUCUAGGGCUUAUACUCUCAUUUUCAUAAAAAAUGGGUAAAGUUAUACCUUUUAUCAAGCAGAAGAUUGAAUGUUCUUGAUCUAAUGCUAAUUUUAUCAUUUUCGUACAUUCUCAUUGUCCAAAAACCAUAGCUUCCAAGUCUAAUUCAGCAAGGGACAACUCUACUAAUUAAAUAAGUCAGUGGCCACCACUAUAUUGAAUAAGAUAAUGUACCUCUCCACUCUCCACUCUCCACAACCAAGCCGCUUAGUAUUUUUUUACAUUUCCUCAAAAAAUGAACAAAAGAAUAUGUACUCUAAUUUUCUGCUCACAGCAUGAUAAAGAAUAAAGCGGCGGAAAAAGCUUUAAGACAAGAUUUUGGAAAUGAUAUCGCUAUCAAAGUAUCGAUGAAGUAUAUCCGAAACAUAAGCCAAUAAUUUUCUUUUGAAAUAUAUAAAAUUUAGAGGGAACUCGGUGCAUAUUUUGUGGAAUAUGGCAGGCAUAUUGGUAUCAGAUCAGGUAUACCACCGAUGCUUUAGCAAUUUUGGAAUAUCUAGGCUCCAUAUCACAUAACUAAUAAAAUCCAGGUUCCAAUGAGACAAUUGAAGGAAAUAACGUGACACAACACUUAGGAAGAGGGUUUUGAAAUCAUAACUCACCCGUAAUGCUGUAUUCCCAGCAACUUCCAUGGCAGUAUCGCCAGCAUUCGCAAACCUAUUAACCCAACCUGUCAUGAAAUGAAAGCCGUAAGAUUACACAGUCGACGCUAAAAGUAAUGUACAAAAGCGAUAACUCAAAAAUGGAUUGCAUCAAAAACUUCAGUCACUUGACAUAUAAAUUUAAAAUGGGUACUGACACAUAUCAUUACUCUCCACAUCCAAGCAUUCAACAAUAUAAUCAAAACAUUAAAAAAAAAUGAGACAGGAAUCAUAUACCUCUUGAUCUGAAUUUUCAUUUUUUGGGUAUAGAAAGUUGCUCUAAUUUGGCAUGAAGCCACAUUAACACCAACACCUGAACCAUCAACCUUCCCCUUAUCCACCAGGAUGCUUUUAAAUUCAGUUACAGUUCUCCACUAACAGUUCCAUGAGAUUUUGGUUUCCAAAUCAACGUUGAACCUGACCACCGCUAUGUUCAGCAAUAAAAGGUUUUGCAUUUAUCAAGCAGAAGAUUGAAUCUUAUUGAAUAAUCAAAAAUAAUAAAAAUGGGUAAGGUUUUGCAUUUAUCAAGCAGAACAUUGAAUCUAACAAUCAACUGUGCACGUGUGUAUAACAUUGCACUGUUGUUGACUUGUUGUGGGAAAUUAAAGCAGCUUAAUCUGUCACAUAGUGUUCAUAUACUUUGUUUCAACUAGUACUAGUACUAGACUCUCAUUGAUAGAUAGAAUCAUACAUGACCAUCACGACACUCAAUAAUUACUCUUAAAAUUUCUUUUACAUUUGCAAAAUCACUUCAUAUUGUAGAUAAUAGCAUUUAGGAACUAGGGUCAACAACUAGCUUUCACAUUAAGGCAUCAUCCAACAUUUUUGGGCCACCCUUACAAAAAUCAUGGAACAAAGUCUAUCCAUCAACAUUUUGAAUAAAUUUCAUAUUAAAAUUACUUUGCUUUGAAAGCCACUGUCCAACUUUUCCAUUAUGAAUAAAGAAUUCAUAAUGCAUUUUCUUCAAUGGUCAUUGAAGCAUACAUCCCUUACAAAACUUAUGAAACAUUAGGGACAAGGGUCAUUAAGUUCAUAAUGCAAAAUCACUUCUAAUUGCAGUUGCAAAAUUGGAUUUAGAGACUAAGGGUCAUCAAAGCAAAAUAUAUAUGCAUUCAUGCAUUAUUAUGAACAAAAAUUCAUAAUUUUUUUAAUAGAAAGUGGACACUGAUAGAAACAAUUGCUUGAGUAGCAAUUAAGGCAACAACUAGUUUUUCACAUUCAGGGACUAGAGUCAUUAAGUAAUUUAUCCAGCAUUUUUUCGGCAUCAAGAAAGCAAUGAAAUGCAUUUAUCUCAAAGGUCAUUGAAGCAUCCAUCCCUUACAAAACAUAUGUAACAUUAGGGACAAGUGUCAUUAAGUUCAUAAUGCAAAAUCACUUCUAUUGCAGUUGCAAAAUUGAAUUUAGGGACUAAGGGUCUCGAAGCAUAAUACCAUUCAUGCAUUAUUACGAAUAAAAAUUCAUAAUAUUUUUAAUAGAAAAGCAGACACCGAUAGGGAAAAAUAGGUAUUGAUUAUAAACUAAAAGGGACAAAUAUAUUGGAAUGAAGUUUCCAAUAAGCAGAAGAUUGAUAUUUCUUGGGACAAAACAUGUUUCCUCAAUUAAAAUUUUGUGUUUUCAAGCAGAAAUUGAAUGUUCUUGAUAUUCCAAUAAGCAGAAGAUUGAAAGUUAUUGGGACAGAACAAGUUUCCUCAAUUAAAAUUUCGUGUUUUCAAGCAGAAAUUGAAUGUUCUUGAAAUAUCAAUAAUUAUAGAAUCAGUAUCAAUCGCAAACAUAAUCUUGGCACAGUACACAUUUUUGCACGAUUAAGGUUUUUUUUUUUCUCAUGCAGAAGAUUGAAUGUUCUUGAAUGAUCAAGAAUGAGAAAAAUGGGUAAAGUUAUAUAUUUUAUCAAACAGAAGAUUGAAUGUUCUUGAUUUAGGGUUUAUACCCUAAUUUUCAUCAAAAAAGAAAAAAAGGGGUUUUGAUUUGAUGAAGCAGAAGAUUGAAUGUUGUCGUUUAAUAAUCAAAAUGCAAAUAUGUGGAAGAGAUUACCGUAGCAAACAGAACACAGAUCGAGGAUGCAAAUUUCGUUAUCUUUGAGCGACCCACCGAACACCGAAGAAGAAAGAACGAG